rnacentral:sRNA from 1 species
CUCUCAGAGAAUUAUUCCCAGGAUGAGAGGAUAAUUCUCUCACUAUAGACCAUUCAAUCUUCAGCCUCU